CAGUAGCCGCGGUAAUACGUAGGGUGCGAGCGUUAACCGGAAUUACUGGGCGUAAAGCGUGCGCAGGCGGUUUUGUAAGACAGGCGUGAAAUCCCCGGGCUCAACCUGGGAAUGGCGCUUGUGACUGCAAAGCUAGAGUGCGGCAGAGGGGGAUGGAAUUCCGCGUGUAGCAGUGAAAUGCGUAGAUAUGCGGAGGAACACCGAUGGCGAAGGCAAUCCCCUGGGCCUGCACUGACGCUCAUGCACGAAAGCGUGGGGAGCAAACAGGAUUAGAGACCCCCGUAGUCCCUGUCUCUUAUAC
rnacentral:rRNA from 1 species